GGCUAUAGAACAAGCUUGCUUCUCUUGAAGAUCGGCGAGCACGGGNUGCAGCUAAUGCCUUAGGUAAUCCUGCCUGGNUANCUGGGGGAUAACGCUUCGGAAAACGGACGCUAAUACCGCAUACGUUCCUACGGGAGAAAGCAGGGGACCUUCNGGCCUUGCGCUAUCAGAUGAGCCUAGGUCGGAUUAGCUANUUGGUGGGGUAAUGGCUCACCAAGGCGACGAUCCGUANCUGGUCUGAGAGGAUGAUCANUCACACUGGAACUGAGACACGGUCCAGACUCCUACGGGAGGCAGCAGUGGGGAAUAUUGGACAAUGGGCGAAAGCCUGAUCCAGCCAUGCCGCGUGUGUGAAGAAGGUCUUCGGAUUGUAAAGCACUUUAAGUUGGGAGGAAGGGCCAUUACCUAAUACGUGAUGGUUUUGACGUUACCGACAGAAUAAGCACCGGCUAACUCUGUGCCAGCAGCCGCGGUAAUACAGAGGGUGCAAGCGUUAAUCGGAAUUACUGGGCGUAAAGCGCGCGUAGGUGGUUUGUUAAGUUGNAUGUGAAAUCCCCGGGCUCAACCUGGGAACUGCAUUCAAAACUGACUGACUAGAGUAUGGUAGAGGGUGGUGGAAUUUCCUGUGUAGCGGUGAAAUGCGUAGAUAUAGGAAGGAACACCAGUGGCGAAGGCGACCACCUGGACUGAU
rnacentral:rRNA from 1 species